rnacentral:misc_RNA from 1 species
GGGUGGCGGAGUAGGAUGGUGAUGUGAGGUGAGAUAUGGAAGUCUCACUUCUUGGUGACCAUUUUUUAGAGAAUAAAUGAUCUGCAGCUGUUUGUGUAAUAAUGAUGCAUUUUGUUCAAAUAGUUUGAGCUAAUUCAGUGUUGCCUGGAGCAGAUCUAUAUGGCUCAAAAUGGAAACAAGAAUAUGGUACUCCUACUCCACUAAAAAGUGGAAGUAUUUUGAAAGGGAUGGAUUCUUAGCGAUCAAUUAAGAAUUAUAUAGAUGCGGAAUGCCAUCCUAGAAUGAUGUGCGGAUAUUCAAGAUAUUAAAUUCCAUUGUGUAAAUGCUAGUAACCUGCAAAUCUGGUAAUAGAAUACUCUAAGAGAAAAGUUCACUUAUGAUUUAUAGCCAAAGGAUGAGACACAUGUUUAUUUUGAAGACUUAUCAAAAUUUACAUUCCACAAAAAAAUUUAUUAUGUGUGUUGUGAUGAAUAUUCCACAUAGAAAGUCAUUGGGGAUUGGUAAAGUUUUAUGCUGUAAGUUAGUGUAUGUGCCACAAGUAUUCAGUGUUGUGAGUUGAGAAAUAGUGGCAAUCUAUAAUAGACAUUCCAAAUAGAAAAUUUCUCGGGGGAGGAUUUAUGAAAAUUCUGAGUUGUACUGUAAUGGAUGCUUUUGUUGCGAUUCUAGUGUGCUUUGUGCUAAAUGAAACAUGCUUUCCUCAUUUAAUAUUUGGAAAUUGCAAAUCAAAUUUGAAGUCACACUAUGCAAUAUGCACUUUGAGGUUUACAUUGGAGGGGGGGUUUGCGCCUUGAUUUGGGUGAGGAAUCAUGUUAGCAUUUGAUGCUAAAUAUGGGUUUGAACUUUGAAAAAUGUAUCAAAUAAACUUAUUAUCAAUGAUUGAUUAGGGUAUGGAG